rnacentral:tRNA from 1 species
GCUAGUGUAGCUUAAAUCAAAGCAUAACACUGAAGAUGUUAAGAUGAACCCUAAAAAGUCCCACAAGCA